rnacentral:lncRNA from 1 species
GAUUGAUCAUUGAAGGACUUGGCAAGAAAUUCAUACAAGAAGAAGGAAUACAAUGAGAAAUAGUCUGCCUUUUAGCUCUAUGCCUAAGUGCCCUUCUGCAGAGAUUUUUCCACAGAUGGCCAUAAAACUGUACAGACCAUGGUUAUUUCUGCACAUGAUGAAUUGAGAAUCUCCACAGAGCACUUUGGAUAGAGAGAGUAAUUUGUAUGCCUCGGUGAAACCAGCACACACA